UGGGGAAUAUUGGACAAUGGGCGCAAGCCUGAUCCAGCAAUGCCGCGUGAGUGAAGAAGGCCUUAGGGUUGUAAAGCUCUUUCGCCCGCGAAGAUAAUGACGGUAGCGGGAGAAGAAGCCCCGGCUAACUCCGUGCCAGCAGCCGCGGUAAUACGGAGGGGGCUAGCGUUGUUCGGAAUGACUGGGCGUAAAGGGCGCGUAGGCGGCGAUUCAAGUCAGAUGUGAAAGGCCUGGGCUCAACCCGGGAACUGCAUUUGAUACUGGAUUGCUUGAGUCCGGGAGAGGAUGGCGGAAUUCCCAGUGUAGAGGUGAAAUUCGUAGAUAUUGGGAAGAACACCGGUGGCGAAGGCGGCCAUCUGGACCGGUACUGACGCUGAGGCGCGAAAGCGUGGGGAGCAAACAG
rnacentral:rRNA from 1 species